UAGUGUUACAGGUCUUUUAAAGUUUGUCUAAUAGGCUUUCUGGUUUUUGCUAGAAAGCCCCA
ensembl:snRNA U7 U7 small nuclear RNA